AAAAAGAGAAAAAGAAAAUAAACGUAGAGGAAAAUAAUGUAACAAUACGCUGCAGGGUGUUUGCCGGCUGGGCUUUUUUUGGUUGUUUUUUUUGUUUUUUUUU
rnacentral:ribozyme from 1 species